rnacentral:rRNA from 1 species
CCUACGGGUGGCUGCAGUGGGGAAUAUUGGACAAUGGGGGGAACCCUGAUCCAGCCAUGCCGCGUGUGUGAAGAAGGCCCUCGGGUUGUAAAGCACUUUCAGUGAGGAAGAACGCCUGGUGGUUAAUACCCAUCAGGAAAGACAUCACUCACAGAAGAAGCACCGGCUAACUCCGUGCCAGCAGCCGCGGUAAUACGGAGGGUGCGAGCGUUAAUCGGAAUUACUGGGCGUAAAGCGCGCGUAGGUGGCUUGAUAAGCCGGUUGUGAAAGCCCCGGGCUCAAACUGGGAACGGCAUCCGGAACUGUCAAGCUAGAGUGCAGGAGAGGAAGGUAGAAUUCCCGGUGUAGCGGUGAAAUGCGUAGAGAUCGGGAGGAAUACCAGUGGCGAAGGCGGCCUUCUGGACUGACACUGACACUGAGGUGCGAAAGCGUGGGUAGCAAACAGGAUUAGAUACCCCUGUAGUC